CGGAGGACGACUCGGUCAGGUCUUUCCCCUAUCAGUUUUCGUAGGAAAUGUAUUGAAUUUUCUAGACUUUGACGGGUAGCGGAAAAUAAGGGUUUGAUUCCGGAGAAGGAGCCUGAGAGACGGCUACUACAUCUAAGGAAGGCAGCAGGCGCGCAAAUUUCCCAAUGCUCAUCGAGCGAGGAAGUGACGACCAAUAACAAUGUGCGAUUCUUUAUGGAUUGUGCAAUUGGAAUGACAACAAUGUAAAGUGUUUAAGGAGGAUCAAUUGGAGGGCAAGUCUGGUGCCAGCAGCCGCGGUAAUUCCAGCUCCAAUAGGAUAUAUCAAAAUUGUUGCAGUUAAAAAGCUCGUAGUUGAAUGUCUGUUGUGUUUUCGUUUGUUUCUUUGAUAUUGAAAGAUGUGAAAGAGACAAAGGCACAGCAUCUUGUGGAAUACUAUUUUGUUUGUGUGGUUUACUCUAUAUAAAUAAAAUACCACUCCGUCACUGAGAGCAAAUUGGAGUGCUCAAAGCAGGCUUUAUAGCUUUGAACAUUUUAGCUUGGAAUGACAAGAUAAGACUUUGGUUUUAUUUUGUUGGUUAUGAAACAAAAGUAAUGAUUAACAGAAACAGGCGGGGGUAUCCGUAUUGAAAGGUCAGAGGUGAAAUUCUUGGAUUCUUUCAAGACGAACGACUGCGAAAGCAUUUACCAAGGAUGUUUUCAUUAAUCAAGAACGAAAGCUCGGGGAUCGAAGAUGAUUAGAUACCAUCGUAGUCCGACGCCAUAAACGAUGCCGACUCGGGAUUAUUUUGUCUUCGUAAUUCAAAAAGAAACAAAAUAGCACCGUAUGAGAAAUCAAAGUCUUUGGGUUCCGGGGGGAGUAUGGUCGCAAGGCUGAAACUUAAAGGAAUUGACGGAAAGACACACAAGAGGUGGAGCCUGCGGUUUAAUUUGACCCAACACGGGGAAACUUACCAGGUCCAGACAUAAUGAGGAUUGACAGUUUGAAAGCACUUUCUUGAUCUUAUGGGUGGUGGUGCAUGGCCGUUCUUAGUUGGUGGAGUGAUUUGUCUGGUUGAUUCCGAUAACGAACGAGACGGGGAAAGCUAACUAGUUUUCGUGAAUAACUUGCGUUAUUCCAAACUUCUUUGCUUGACAACUUGGUUUUACCAAGAGGAAGCGCCCCGCAAUAACAGGUCUGUGAUGCCCUUAGAUGUUCUGGGCAACACGCGCGCUACAAUGGUGA
rnacentral:rRNA from 1 species